CCCUUAGAUGUUCUGGGCUGCACGCGUGCUACACUGAUGCAUUCAGCAAGUAUACUUCCUUUGCCGAGAGGCCUGGGCAAUCUUGUAAACAUGCAUCGUGAUGGGGAUAGAUUUUUGCAAUUAUUAAUCUUUAACGAGGAAUUCCUAGUAAACGCAGAUCAUCAAUCUGCAUUGAUUACGUCCCUGCCCUUUGUACACACCGCCCGUCGCACCUACCGAUUGAAUGGUCCGGUGAAGCCUCGGGAUUAUGAACAAUGCCUUUGUUGGCAUUGUUUGUGAGAACUUGUCUAAACCUUAUCAUUUAGAGGAAGGUGAANUCGUANCA
rnacentral:rRNA from 1 species